UCCCCGAUAGUCUAGUGGUGAGGAUAUCUGCUUGUCAUUCGAGAAGUCGUUGAUCGCAGGGGACCGGGGUUCAAUUCCCCGUCGAGGAG
rnacentral:tRNA from 1 species